CCCUGUGUGAUACAAAAGGUUAAUAUGCUUGGCUGCUAACCAAAAGGCUGGGGGUUCAAGUCUACCCAGAGGUA
rnacentral:tRNA from 1 species